CCUGGCAUCCCGUUUGGACCUCUCUGUUCUUGGUCUGGUGCUGAAUCACCGACUGCCGGUUCAGUCUUGAUCCAACCUGUUUCCCAGCUCAUUAAAGCUGCAGCAGCUGCAGCAGCAGCGCUGCAUCAGCUGGGUCGACCCAGUCCCACUCUGCAGCCCCGCAGCUACUGAGCACGCUCAGUUAGUCUCAGCAUGCCUAGAAAGUGAAUAAAGAAAGUAUCCUGGCUUCCUGGAGCCUGAUGCACCUGAUCAACCAGGUAACCUGGAGAAACACCAGCUAAUGUUCCUCCUGUCAUCAUAAAUCAAACGUUUAUCCGUCUGCACGGCAGCUCAGGCGACCCGUCUGGACCGGCGCAGACGAAUCUGGAGUGUGAUGAUCCUGCACCCUUUCACCUCUGCGCUCUGACACAGCGUAGGAAUCCAUUCAACGCCUCACAAGUGCUCUCUGGCCCGUGAUGUUGCUGCCGGUUUUCUGCUCUCUCCGCCGUGAUGAGCAGCAUCAGCCGCUGCGGCUCCUCUCACAUUAAAGCGUUUCAUGUUGUGGGAACCGGUCCAGAAACACGGCGGCGCCGGCGGCAGAACCUCCAGGCUGUCCGGGUCUCAGAGUCCCGGAUCCGAUCCUGGAUCGAAACGCUGUAAAUUCUUCACCAUCUCCUGUUUGUAGCUUCAAAACUAUAAAACAGCUCAUGUUGUUCUGCUGUGUUAUGGAUCAGAACCGCUGGCCCAGCUCUGUGCUGGUGUUUAUGAACCGUUUGUGUCUGAUUGUUUAUUGUUGUUUGGUUUAUUGCUGGUGAAAAACGUAACUAUUUUAAUGCAACUAUGAAUUGACAAACACUUUGAG